UACUAGAGUAGCACUCGCAUAUCAAUAAGCGGAGGAAAAGAAACUAACAAGGAUUCCCUUAGUAACGGCGAGUGAAGCGGGAAGAGCUCAAAUUUGAAAUCCUCAAGGGUUCUACCUUGACGAAUUGUAGUUUAUAAGAAGUGUUUUCUGUUAGUGGAGUGGCAAAAGUUCUUUGGAAUAGGACAUCAUAGAGGGUGAGAAUCCCGUAUUUGGUCAUUCCUCCUAGCGUUGUGAUACACUUUCAUCGAGUCGGAUUGUUUGGGAAUGCAGUCCAAAAUGGGUGGUAAAUUUCAUCUAAAGCUAAAUAUUGGCGAGAGACCGAUAGCGAACAAGUACCGUGAGGGAAAGAUGAAAAGAACUUUGAAAAGAGAGUUAAACAGUACGUGAAAUUGUCAAAAGGGAAGCGUUUGACACCAGUGUUGUUUUUCCGAAAAUCAAUUACGAAUGUUUUAUUUUUGAGGAGUUAUGACUUCAUCGGCUUGCUCCAUUCUUUAUGAAACUUUCUUAAUGCACUUUUCGGUUAACAAGUCAACAUCAAUUUCUUUUGUUGUAAAAGGGUAUGAGGAAGGUGGCUUUCUUUUCGGAGAAAGUGUUUAUAGCCUUGUGCCUCUGCAAUCGGAGAGAUUGAGGUCUGCAGCGUAGAUCCUUCGGGGUUAGAUACGUUUGUGCUAAGUUAUAGCUUUUCAUAGACAACUUGUUGACUAUGUUUAGUCUUGUAGCUUACUCGCUUACGCUAUUUUACCUACGCUUAGGAUGUUGAUAGUCACAGCGUGUAC
rnacentral:rRNA from 1 species